AGGCUGGGGAUCAUUUGUCAACAAAAAUAUAUACGAUCCAAGGAGUCACAAGCACAGUGGCAAACUUAUAAGUCUCACCGUUUCCAUGAGAACUGCUUAGCAACUGCGGUAUACAAUUCAACUUCAGCUGGACUCAAUUUCCUUUCCUCUCCUCAAGCUGUCUCUUCCCCUGUCGUUUUUAUUUCUUAUUCGUGAAGCAUUACCCCGGCGCUACUCUAUCAACAAGGCAGAGCAGCACUGGGAAAUGUGUAUCAACAUUCUGGAGUUCUGACUUUCCGUCCGAGUAACUGCCCCUGCAAAUCGUCUUCUUGCGGUUCUCGCUUCAGAGACCUCAUUUUUCCUUUCAAAUAGCAUCCUUGAAUAUAUUACCUGUUCAAUAAGUAAUUGAAUCCAUUGACGACCCAUGUCAAUAUGCAGCAGAGGAACCUAAACUUCUUGAGGCGCCACAUCAGACUCCCUCUGCCCGUGUUCGAGCUCGUAUCAGCCCACACGUCUGUUCUUCUUUUGAUAUCUUGAGGCCGGGGUCGCUAUGGAUGUAGUCUUUUGCAACCUCGGUUUUUGGCUCCUUCAGUCAAUGGAAGCCAAAAUGGCUUGAAGCCUUUGCCUUGAUCUGGCAUCAAGGUCCGUGAAUCCCCAGUCAACGCAGGUCCCUAGGUUGAUAAUACGGACUGGCCGUUCAUACAACCAGCAACCCUUGUUUCGUAUCCACGGUCCUCCACCUAGUCCCUGUCAAUCACAUAGCUUUCUCAGAUGUGCCAUUUAUUCGCUUUCAACUCCUUCCUUUGAAUCCACUACUGCAUCCAAGUCAACACCUUCUUAUACCAGUAUGAGUGUGACAGUGGGAUUGUCUCACGGAAUGCAUCAAACCUUUGGCUACGGGACACCUCCCACAUUGUCCAGGAGUGCUCAGUCUGCGGGGACAAGGCAUUAGUCCACUAACGCCUUCAAGUUCAAUCCAAUCAAUACCCUGGGUGUGAUCUAAUUAUCUCAUUUAUUUUGAUACUCCCAUCGCAAAACACUGUAUCCAUGGCUUUAUACCUGUACCCCGCUUUCCAGGCUCCCGCAUUCUUCAAUCAAGGGGUUGGAGAUGAUAAUAUAAUAAGGAUGGCUAUUCCUACCAAAUUGCAAGUCGUCGAUCUUUUCUGAAUUUCCAACUCGAUCCUCGUAUACCGUAAUCCUUAUAAGGGGAGCAGUACCAACCGUCCUUUUGUUUACGUUUUUAACACGCAAAACAUCCACAAUGAAGUUUCUCUUCGGAAUUCUUACCUCUCUCACCAUUCUUGGAGCCCCCGCCCUAGCAGCGGUGAAUGGUCCGUGUAGCGGCACCAGCGAUACGCCGGGAUACUAUGGAAUCUGCAUUUCGACAUCCUCCUGCAGGGCUAAUGGCGGGACUUAUGUGAACAACCGCUGUCCCAAUGACCCGAACAACAUCAAGUGCUGCACUAUUGCUGGAUGUGCAGACUCGAGCAGCUACUGCGGAUGGACCAGUCGGCAUUGCAGUGGGAAAUUUAGAACUGGAUUGUGCCCGGGUGGUAACAAUUACAAAUGUUG
rnacentral:sRNA from 1 species